UUUCAGAUAAGCUUGCACAUUGCCCGGACUGACACCAAAGGCCGCAUUUUGCCCUAGAUGGCAUAGCCACGAGAAGCCUAUUCAGAUUCCCCGGACUGGCAUUCUCUUUACGUACGCAGAAACCUCAACUUCAUUCAUUAAUCGACAGAGCGAGAAAAUCACAAAGAAAAAAAAUACAAGGUGGGACCCACCGGAGAAAGAGCCUCAACUGGGGCCCACCACCCCAUCCUUCCUUUAAAUCCCCACCUCCAUCGGCGCCGCAGAGCUCCACAACCACAGCAUCACAACGGAACCCGUAGGAAACGCCCCCAAGACCCACCAUAAUUUCCGUCCUCCCCCCCCCCCCCCCCCCCCCCCCCCCCCCC
rnacentral:lncRNA from 1 species